UCUGCUGAAGGAUAGAGCAUGCAACAAAAAAUGUUUUGUUUCAUGGUCAGGAAUUUGCACUACCCUAUUCAAUUUUCAAACAAAAGGGAAGACAGCUUUUUGUCAGUGACAUUUUGGGCUGAAAACAGGAAUCCAACACUCGCCCUCUAGCAGUCUCCUUCACUCACUCACUCUCUCUCCCUCUAACACACACUUUCUCACACCCACUCUCUCACUCACUCACACUUUCUCUCUCUCUCUCACUCACACACACAUACAGUCCCACACAUACACAAACGCACAUGCACCUACUUUCUACUUUCUAUUUUCCAGUCACCACUAUAUUUCUCCACUAUACGUGCUAUAGUGUGUCCAACGGCCAACUCCAAGGUACAAAGUGGAGAGGGGAUGAUGGUUUGGUUUUGAAUUUCUGAGACAAGACAAGAGUUCUUCCAUUCGAGAAUAUUUCUGUUUGUUAGUUCACUUUUCACUAUAUGGUUUAAACUUUAAAGCUUUAAAGUGGAUGACAUAUCGCACAGUGCGCUCCAGUAAUCCAGUGAGAUAGUUAGUUGUAGUGUAUAGGUUUGUUUUAAUUAUUGAGUUUCUAUCUGUUGUUUUUCCUGUUUCCUGUGUUCUUCAUUUUUGUCUUCGUUCCUCUUCGUUACUGUGUCUGCUCCUGAGUCUACAGUGUCAGUGCAGCGAAGAAGCGAGUCCAAACAGCAGUGAAAUAACAAGAGCUUGCAUAGAUGAGGAAAUAUCAUCAGAUAAUCUUUACUUCCAUUGAGAGAGAUGGUCAAUUUCCAGUCAGAAUGGGAGGAGAAAAUCGUUUAUAAAGCAUAUGAGGACAGUGGGGAGCGCUAAUAUUGGCCAAUGUGUCAAUAAUAUCUUGAGAAGAUCAAUGAUUGAUGAGCUGGCCAUGAAAUUCUCAUAUACUGGCCGUGCAUCAAACGGGAACACAGAAACUCCAUUUCAUGGGAGUGAGAUAUCGAAAUGCAUACUGAGUAAGUAGGCUACCGUAUUCCUUUAUAGUCGAAUAUAUGACAUUUUUGGUUAUGUAAAUAUGGAUGUUACUUAUUUUUAUUGUAUGUUAAUUUAUAUGUUAGCAAGGUUAGCGUUUUAGGCCAUAUUUACACUGCACUGUAGUAGAUGUAUUUUCAAACCAUAUUUGUGCCGUAUUUGUUUUUCAAACCAUACCUGUAGGUACCUAUGUACGAAUAAAAACAAACAGAAAUUCAAGUAGGCCUACCCAUUUUAAAAUUAGCAUAUUUUUCUUAUAAAUAAAAAUAUUAGAAUAUUAUUUCUAUAUUAUAGGU